rnacentral:rRNA from 1 species
UACGAAGGGGGCUAGCGUUGCUCGGAAUCACUGGGCGUAAAGGGUGCGUAGGCGGCGCGGUAAGUCGGGUGUGAAAUCUCGGAGCUUAACUCCGAAACUGCAUUCGAUACUGCCGUGCUUGAGGACUGGAGAGGAGACUGGAAUUUACGGUGUAGCGGUGAAAUGCGUAGAUAUCGUAAGGAAGACCAGUGGCGAAGGCGGGUCUCUGGACAGUUCCUGACGCUGAGGCACGAAGGCCAGGGAGCAAACGGG